AACGAACGCUGGCGGCAGGCUUAACACAUGCAAGUCGAGCGCCCCGCAAGGGGAGCGGCAGACGGGUGAGUAACACGUGGGAAUCUGCCCAUCCCUACGGAACAACUCCGGGAAACUGGAGCUAAUACCGUAUACGCCCUUCGGGGGAAAGAUUUAUCGGGGAUGGAUGAGCCCGCGUCGGAUCAGCUAGUUGGUGGGGUAAAGGCCUACCUAGGCGACGAUCCGUAGCUGGUCUGAGAGGAUGAUCAGCCACACUGGGACUGAGACACGGCCCAGACUCCUACGGGAGGCAGCAGUGGGGAAUAUUGGACAAUGGGCGCAAGCCUGAUCCAGCCAUGCCGCGUGAGUGAUGAAGGCCUUAGGGUUGUAAAGCUCUUUCGCCAGGGACGAUAAUGACGGUACCUGGAUAAGAAGCCCCGGCUAACUUCGUGCCAGCCGCCGCUGUAAAAC
rnacentral:rRNA from 1 species